rnacentral:rRNA from 1 species
UACGGAGGGGGCUAGCGUUGUUCGGAAUUACUGGGCGUAAAGCGCACGUAGGCGGACCAGUCAGUUAGAGGUGAAAGCCCAGGGCUCAACCCUGGAACUGCCUUUAAUACUGCUGGUCUAGAGGUCGAGAGAGGUGAGUGGAAUUCCGAGUGUAGAGGUGAAAUUCGUAGAUAUUCGGAGGAACACCAGUGGCGAAGGCGGCUCACUGGCUCGAUACUGACGCUGAGGUGCGAAAGCGUGGGGAGCAAACAGG